UAGUAGACUGAACAAAUAUCUUGACGUUGUCUUUCUAAAGCUUGAUUGCAACCAAGACAAUAAGCCAUUGGCAAAGGAACUUGGGAUAAAAGUGGUGCCAACUUUCAAAAUUCUAAAGGAUAAGAAGGUCGUUAAAAAAGUAACUGGAGCAAAGUUCGAUGAUUUGGUUCAUGCCAUUGAUACUGUAAGAUCCAGCUGAAAACUCUCCUCUCUUCUCUUCUUUGUAAAUUUAAAUAAUAUGAUGCAAGGAAGAGUGUUCAGGGCAGUUAUUUAUUUUACUCUAUUAGUUUAAUGAUUUUGUGUACUGUUAAGUGUUAAGGAAGAAGCAAUUCGACCAUGAGAAAUGAUUCUGUAUAUAAAAAUGUUUGGGAGAUAGACAUUUGAAUGUGUACAAUGAAAGUUUCUACAUAUUCCAAAAAUUAUUU